GCCUUGGCAGUCGACUAGAGUUUGAUCCUGGCUCAGAUUGAACGCUGGCGGCAUGCCUUACACAUGCAAGUCGAACGGUAACGCGGGGUAACCUGGCGACGAGUGGCGAACGGGUGAGUAACGCAUCGGAACGUGCCCAGUAGUGGGGGAUAGCCCGGCGAAAGCCGGAUUAAUACCGCAUACGACCUACGGGUGAAAGGGGGGAUCGCAAGACCUCUCGCUAUUGGAGCGGCCGAUGUCAGAUUAGGUAGUUGGUGGGGUAAAGGCCUACCAAGCCGACGAUCUGUAGCUGGUCUGAGAGGACGACCAGCCACACUGGGACUGAGACACGGCCCAGACUCCUACGGGAGGCAGCAGUGGGGAAUUUUGGACAAUGGACGCAAGUCUGAUCCAGCCAUGCCGCGUGCGGGAAGAAGGCCUUCGGGUUGUAAACCGCUUUUGUCAGGGAAGAAAUCUUCUGGGUUAAUACCUCGGGAGGAUGACGGUACCUGAAGAAUAAGCACCGGCUAACUAC
rnacentral:rRNA from 1 species